GACGAACGCUGGCGGCGGGCUUAACACAUGCAAGUCGAACGGAAAGGCCCUGCUUGUGUGGGGUGCUCGAGUGGCGAACGGGUGAGUAACACGUGAGUAACCUGCGCUUGACUUUGGGAUAACUUCAGGAAACUGGGGCUACUACCGGAUAGGAGCUCCUGCUGCAUGGUGGGGGUUGGAAAGCUUCGGCGGUUGGGGAUGGACUCGCGGCUUAUCAGCUUGUUGGUGGGGUAGUGGCUUACCAAGGCUUUGACGGGUAGCCGGCCUGAGAGGGUGAACGGCCACAUUGGGACUGAGAUACGGACCAGACUCCUACGGGAGGCAGCAGUGGGAAAUAUUGCACAAUGGGCGGAAGCCUGAUGCAGAAGCGCCGCGUGCGGGAUGACGGCCUUCGGGUUGUAAACCGCAUUCGCCUGUGACGAAGCGUGAGUGACGGUAAUGGGUAAAGAAGCACCGGCUAACUACGUG
rnacentral:rRNA from 1 species